UACGUAGGGUGCAAGCGUUGUCCGGAAUUAUUGGGCGUAAAGAGCUCGUAGGCGGUUUGUUGCGUCGGCUGUGAAAUCCCGAGGCUCAACCUCGGGUCUGCAGUCGAUACGAGCAAACUAGAGUGUUGCAGGGGAGACUGGAAUUCCUGGUGUAGCGGUGAAAUGCGCAGAUAUCAGGAGGAACACCGGUGGCGAAGGCGGCUAUCUGGACAGAGUCUGACGCUGAGGCGCGAAAGCUAGGGGAGCAAACAGG
rnacentral:rRNA from 1 species